UGCCUAAUUUGGAGAAUUGUAGGCAAAAAUGUGGCUGUUGUUGCUAGCCACUCACUUUUGGUAUAGCUCCUUAUGCAGCAGUGGAGCCACGGCGUGGUCUUCCCUGGGCAGAAUCCCAGCCUCAGAAGCACCCUAUCCGAUAGUAGUUUGUUUCCUUUGUCUCAUGUUUUUAUCUUCUGUCCUAAGCAACUUCCUCUUUAUUUCUUCAGUUACCACUCCACUAUCUGAUCUGUCCACUCUCCAUGGAUUUUCAAGGAAGAUCAGUGAUGUUGUGAAAAAGGUCUUGACCUUUGAUUGGUACCCUCAGAGAAGACUAUCAGGCAUAAAGACCAAUAGGAACCCAAAGCAGUGAGAGAAGCUGAAAAUAAGGGAACUGUGCCUCUUAUCUCCAUGGAGGCUUUGGAGAGAAGGUGUUAAUGGUUAAUUUAUUUCUUCAUUUAUUCAGUCAAUGAACAUUAUUGCAGAAUCUUCUGCUGCAUAAUAAAUUUGAGACACUUCCAGUCAAGAAAAUUGCAUCACCUUUUCUGAUAUUCCUACCUCAUUUUAACAUCUAGUUAUCCUCUGUCUCAGAUAAGAUGCCUUUUGGAUCUAAUAUAGUUAGAGUAACCAUACUGGAACACUUCUGAAAUUGAAAUGGGCAUUGUUAACAAUUAUGCCAGAUAGUAUACACCAGGACUAUCUUAGGUAACCCAAGUGAUGUAUAACUUAAUCUAGGUAGUACCUAUCAUAUCUUCUUUCUUUACAUAUGUAACUAUAUAAUAUAUGUAUAUGUGU